rnacentral:rRNA from 1 species
UGACGGUAUCUAACCAGCAAGCCACGGCUAACUACGUGCCAGCAGCCGCGGUAAUACGUAGGUGGCAAGCGUUAUCCGGAUUUAUUGGGCGUAAAGGGAACGCAGGCGGUUUUUUAAGCCUGAUGUGAAAGCCUUCGGCUUAACCGGAGAAUAGCAUUGGAAACUGGAAGACUUGAGUGCAGAAGAGGAGAGUGGAAUUCCAUGUGUAGCGGUGAAAUGCGUAGAUAUAUGGAGGAACACCAGUGGCGAAAGCGGCUCUCUGGUCUGUAACUGACGCUGAGGUUCGAAAGCGUGGGUAGCAAACAGGAUUAGAUACCCUG